rnacentral:rRNA from 1 species
CGAUAUCUGAUUAGCUAGUUGGUAGGGUAAAAGCCUACCAAGGCAUCGAUCAGUAGCUGGUCUGAGAGGACGACCAGCCACACUGGAACUGAGACACGGUCCAGACUCCUACGGGAGGCAGCAGUGGGGAAUUUUGGACAAUGGGCGCAAGCCUGAUCCAGCAAUGCCGCGUGAGUGAAGAAGGCCUUCGGGUUGUAAAGCUCUUUUGUCAGGGAAGAAACGGUGAGGGCUAAUAUCCCUUGCUAAUGACGGUACCUGAAGAAUAAGCACCGGCUAACUACGUGCCAGCAGCCGCGGUAAUACGUAGGGUGCAAGCGUUAAUCGGAAUUACUGGGCGUAAAGCGUGCGCAGGCGGUUUUGUAAGACUGUCGUGAAAUCCCCGGGCUCAACCUGGGAAUGGCGAUGGUGACUGCAAGGCUAGAGUUUGGCAGAGGGGGGUAGAAUUCCACGUGUAGCAGUGAAAUGCGUAGAUAUGUGGAGGAACACCGAUGGCGAAGGCAGCCCCCUGGGUCAAAACUGACGCUCAUGCACGAAAGCGUGGGGAGCAAACAGGAUUAGAUACCCUGGUAGUCCACGCCCUAAACGAUGUCUACUAGUUGUCGGGUCUUAAUUGACUUGGUAACGCAGCUAACGCGUGAAGUAGACCGCCUGGGGAGUACGGUCGCAAGAUUAAAACUCAAAGGAAUUGACGGGGACCCGCACAAGCGGUGGAUGAUGUGGAUUAAUUCGAUGCAACGCGAAAAACCUUACCUACCCUUGACAUGGCUGGAAUCCCUGAGAGAUUGGGGAGUGCCCGAAAGGGAACCAGUACACAGGUGCUGCAUGGCUGUCGUCAGCUCGUGUCGUGAGAUGUUGGGUUAAGUCCCGCAACGAGCGCAACCCUUGUCAUUAGUUGCUACGAAAGGGCACUCUAAUGAGACUGCCGGUGACAAACCGGAGGAAGGUGGGGAUGACGUCAAGUCCUCAUGGCCCUUAUGGGUAGGGCUUCACACGUCAUACAAUGGUACAUACAGAGGGCCGCCAACCCGCGAGGGGGAGCUAAUCCCAGAAAGUGUAUCGUAGUCCGGAUUGUAGUCUGCAACUCGACUGCAUGAAGUUGGAAUCGCUAGUAAUCGCGGAUCAGCAUGUCGCGGUGAAUACGUUCCCGGGUCUUGUACACACCGCCCGUCACACCAUGGGAGCGGGUUUUACCAGAAGUAGGUAGCUUAACCGUAAGGAGGGCGAUUACCACGG